GUAACAAGGUCUCCGUUGGUGAACCAGCGGAGGGAUCAUUACUGAGUUUACGCUCUAUAACCCUUUGUGAACAUACCUAUAACUGUUGCUUCGGCGGGUAGGGUCUCCGCGACCCUCCCGGCCUCCCGCCUCCGGGCGGGUCGGCGCCCGCCGGAGGAUAACCAAACUCUGAUUUAACGACGUUUCUUCUGAGUGGUACAAGCAAAUAAUCAAAACUUUUAACAACGGAUCUCUUGGUUCUGGCAUCGAUGAAGAACGCAGCGAAAUGCGAUAAGUAAUGUGAAUUGCAGAAUUCAGUGAAUCAUCGAAUCUUUGAACGCACAUUGCGCCCGCCAGCAUUCUGGCGGGCAUGCCUGUUCGAGCGUCAUUUCAACCCUCAAGCUCUGCUUGGUGUUGGGGCCCUACAGCUGAUGUAGGCCCUCAAAGGUAGUGGCGGACCCUCCCGGAGCCUCCUUUGCGUAGUAACUUUACGUCUCGCACUGGGAUCCGGAGGGACUCUUGCCGUAAAACCCCCCAAUUUUCCAAAGGUUGACCUCGGAUCAGGUAGGAAUACCCGCUGAACUUAAGCAUAUCA
rnacentral:rRNA from 1 species